GAAGUUGAAUCAAAGCUUUGGUUGAUCCUGGGUCUGCCUUUCCCACCCUGUCGGUUCUUUUUCAGUUUAAGACGUUUCCCUGUUACCACAGAARGAGCCAACAGCGACUCUCAGGUGAAAGGUGCGUUUAAGAUGUCAGGAUUUCAACAUCAUCUUCAAGGGGCAUCCACUUUAGAAAUCUGGAAAUCUUAUUUUCCACGUUUAAGUGAAGCCUGGACAAAGCUUGCAUCAGUAACACAUCUAAGAAGACAAGUGAAAUGUAUUCUAGAUUAAUUGGGGCGAAGCAGGUGCCAG